rnacentral:misc_RNA from 1 species
AACUGAUACUACCUGCGGGAACCUGCGGAGGGAUCAUUACCGAGUUUUCAACUCCCUAACCCUUCUGUGAACCUACCUAUCGUUGCUUCGGCGGACUCGCCCCAGCCCGGACGCGGACUGGACCAGCGGCCCGCCGGGGACCUCAAACUCUUGUAUUCCAGCAUCUUCUGAAUACGCCGCAAGGCAAAACAAAUGAAUCAAAACUUUCAGCAACGGAUCUCUAGAUCGGAAGAGCACACG